CAAGGUCUCCCGUUGGUGAACCAGCGGAGGGAUCAUUA
rnacentral:rRNA from 1 species